CUCAUGCUCUGUCUCUUCUCUCUCUCAAAAAUAAAUAAUAAACAUUUAAAAAAAAAAAAAAAAGAAAUGGAGUUGAAAGUCUUGGAGUCACAUUCUAUGCAGUGGAGUAUCGGAGUGGGCUCUCUAGAGCCAAUGCCUCUCUUCCCAACUCCACAUCCGGUGAUGUCAGGAUGAUGCCUUGAAAUUGGCUAUUGUUGGGACAUUCACACCACAGAAAUUGGCAAACAGUAGGGCCACCUGGGUGGCCCAGUCGGUUAAGCAUCUGACUUGGGCUCAGGUCAUGAUCUCAUGGUUUGAGACUGAGCCCCACAUCACUGUCAGCACAGAGUCUGCUUCAGAUCCACUGGCUCCCUCUCUGUCAGCCCUUUCUCUGUUUGUGUGUGCUCUCUCAAAAAUAAAUAAAUGUUAAAAAAGAAAUUGGCAAACAAUAAAGCUCAGUGUAGUGGGUGUUUUUCCCCCUGCCAAAAGUGACAUUUACAUACAUGCCACAUGAGCCGUGUGAACCUUGGGUGAUACUUAUUUCACAGAGGGAUUAGUGCAAAUGAGAUACUUAAUUUGGAAGUCCUCUGUAACCUGUAAAGUUUCUACAUGUGUUAGUUUUUAUUAUUUGAAAUAAAAUGUUAAAUAUGAAGCUUUAACAUUUAUUAAAAUCUAAGUGUGUAAUUAUUACCUUUCAUUGCAAGCUUCAAAUAUGAUAUAGGACAAGAUUUCAGAAAGCAAAACAAUUAGGAAGCAGCCUUUUUGUGUUGGUUAAAGCUAUUAUGUGCAAGUUACAAAACUCCUAACUCCAACCGGCUUCAACAGUGAAGUGAGUUCACUGUCACCUAAACUAAAAGGCCAGAGAGAGUGCCAGCUUAAUUCAGCUAGCUUAAUCCAGAGGCCAGGCUAAGCCCAGCAAGUCAGAUGAUGCCAUCGUAGAGCAGGAGGACCAUAUGUUCCUGUUUGCCCAGGAUAGUCCUGUUUACGCAUCCUAUCUGGUUUGGUGUAUGUCUUGCCCGGUUUCAUUCUCGAAGUUGUCCUAGUUUAGAAGAUAAAUGAUAUGUUUACUUAACCAAGGUUUGCUCUCUCUGCUCAGUUUUUUUGUGUUGCAGGAUUCACCCUCAGGUAUCACAAGACAUGUUUCCCCACCCGUUCCCUGCAGUUCCAGCCUCUUCCACGCAGAGAGCAUAAGAUCUGUAGAAGCUGCAGACCCCAUAACUUCAUACCACCCAAUCUAGUGGGACAGAAAAUCUCUUCCAGUAGCCUGUGCAAGUGCUGGGAUUCACUGCCUCUCCCUGGUCGGAUUUGGGUCACAUGGCCAUUGCUGAAACAUCCCUUUGGGAACAUGGAUUCACCGAUGGAUUUAGUCAACUGUGCUCACACCUAGAGUAGGCCUGAGAGAAUUCCAAACAAAUCACCCAACUGAGAAUGAGGUGACUUCUCCCAAGGAACAGCAAGUAACUGUCGGCAGCAGAAGAGGUAAGAAGCCUUCUGUGAGGUGCUGUGAAGCUGCUUCUGUGUGAGGCUGAUCUAGUAAUGGUGGCCAGAUACAACACAGUGGAGGAUGUGCCAGAGGCAUUCACACAGGGGGUGAAGUGCAGUGAUUAACAGCACAGAUCUUGGAGCCAAGAAGGCCUGCGUUCAAAUCUCAGCUCUGCCAAUUACUAAGAGCAUAUGACCUGGGGAGAGCAAGAGAAGCUUAAGCAGCCACCCUGUGGAGACUGAUGCGGAACUCGAUCCUACGAUCCUGGGAUCAGGACCUGAGUAGAAAUCAAGAGUCAGAUGCUCAACCGACUGAGCCAACCAGGCGUCCCAGGAGAGUUCCUUUAAAAUCAGAAAGUUUCACUUAGCAAAAUACAUCGUCCAACCAUGGCGUCUGGGUGAGGAAAGUGAACGAGCAAGAGUGAGCUCCGGUUACCUGUGUGGAGGCAUUAAUUUCAGCGGCUACUGCCCAGAUUUUUAGAAGUUUGUCAGUUAUUACUGGUCAAGUUUUCGGUGGGUAUGAGCAACUAUCAACUAUGAAGACUAUGGAACAACAACAACAACAAAAAGUCACAUCAAAUGUUUACUUCUUGCUCUGGAAGUUCAGAAAUCUUGUCUUACUUGUGAAACAGAGAAAGACAAAAUAAAAUUGACAAUGUAUAUAGUAUGGUUCUUUGUAACCCAACUUUCCGGGGGGGUCAGAAAGAGCCGUAUAAAAUAUUCGAAGCUUCAUGAAGGUGCCUGGAGGGAAGAGGUAAAGGUUCUCACUUAGAGUGGAUAGUUGAUGCUCAACAGUUUGAACUUGACUUGAGGAUAAACCAAGAGCCUACAACUGGGACAAGGCAUGUUUAUCUUUAGUGCAGCAGUUUGGAGGUGGAGGCAUUCCUGCAACAAUUGCCUGGCACAUUCUAGGCACAAAAUAUUUGUUGGUGACCCAGAACCACUGCCUCCAAAUCGACCUUCUCUCAAUUCACAGAUACUAUCAAAGGAGGAAAACCCUAGAACCCCAAGAGAAACCCAUUUCUCUCCUCUUAAUCCCCAAGAGAUCAGCAUUUGCUAUUUCCAUGGCAACCAGAAGACGCAAAAUGGCCAAAACCUGAGAGCUACUUCAGAUGAAAGCCAGAAAAAAGAAAAUUAACAAGAGACAUGUUACAGACAGCAUGGAUGACAGUGUGGCCAGGUUUCCAAAAUUUGGGGAGAUUUUCUUAUUUCUUUCCUUGGAAGAAUACAAUGCUGUCCAGAAUGUAGCAGUGGAGCUUCUUGCUGUGCUGCUAAAUGUUCAUUGGGUACUUAGUUUUAUUCUUUUCUUGAAAGGAGUGGAGGGACCCAUGGGCCUUGGCAGCAAUUAAGUGAAGGUAAGCUGUUGGAAAUUGCUCUCCUGGCAAGCCUUGAUGUUAACCUCAAUGAGGAGGCCAGUCUGGCUACAGUGCCCUUGUUCCCUUUCUUCCAUGGAGUGAACAAAUAUUUAUUGAGCACCUUCUAUUUUCUAGGUAAUCUAUUCCACACACAACGAAAUGAAAACUUACAACUCUGAUAAGGGCUCCUAGGAGAAGUCCCUGUAACUACUAGAGUGUGUAGUAAGCAGAGAUGACCUGUUAGAGCGGCCAGGCCCUCCUAAGGAAGUGUGAUUAAGCUGAGUAGGAGGAAACUGGGCCGUGGUUGCAGGGCCUGGGGAGGGAGAACAUUCCAGGCAGUGGGAACUCUUGGGCAAAGGCCCUUUGGAGGAAGUGAGCCUCAAGUGUUCGAGGAACUGAAAGCAGGCCUGAGCAGCCUGUGUUGGCAGAACCCCAGAGCGUGAGGGGAAUGAACUUGGGGCAAGGCCAGUUGGAGAUGUGAGCAGGAGCCAGGUCAUUCUCAGUGCAGAGCCUAGUCUUGCAGGGUGGGUUUGUUAGGGAUUUUGGUGUCUAUCUCUCCUCAUUCCAGGGUGAACUCAAGCUGUAACAGGAAUGUAUGACAGGUCCUUCUUGUGUGUGAUCUGGGAAUGGCAGCUUCUGGUUUAUCUGAAAUCCGUCAGAAUAUUGCCAUACAUUCCAGAUGUGAACCACCAAGUUUCAAAGAAUUAUAAUUUUAUGAAAUACUUUAAACCUAAAUCACAUUCAAGAUAUUUUAUGUAUGAAGACUCAGGCACUUUGGAGCCAUCACCAUGAAUUUCACUUAUCAUCAUAUAUUAACCCCUCAGAAGCCAGAGUUUGACCAUCUAAUAACUUCCCCUGUAUGUGUGACCCACCUGGAAUCUGGGAAGUUUGCAAGAAGCCAAAAAAAUGUAACAAAUUUUAAAUACAAAUUUUAACAGAGGGUAGGUCCUCAUUAAGAACUUAAUUGAUUAAUUUCAUUGUACACACAGUUCUAACGAGUGGGUUUUUUGGGUUCCAAGGGCACAGCAGAUAGGGAGCAAUAAUUUAGAAAGGGAGAAGGGAUGGGGUGGUAUAUGUAAAUAAUUAAAAGUAACAGGGAGCAGUACAAAUGUAGAGAAGGAGACCAAAAAAGAACCCCCCCCCCCAAACAAAACAAAACUCCUGAGACAAAAAACC